UUACCUCAGGACUAGGCAGUCCUUCUGACAUUGCUGCCCACAUACUUGGAGGUGAUCUCACAGGAGUGGCCACAGCUGUGCUGCGGCAUCAAGGCUGAGUCUGAGCGCGCUGUGGAUUCCAGAGUGACACAGCGGUGUCAUUCUCGGUUCUCAUGACACAUUUCCCUUCACAGGUGAGGACUCAGUCAUGCUGCGGGUCAUGUUGACAAAGUUCUAGCAUCAGCCUUAUAUUUUGACUGGUGAAGAGAUGCCCAUCCCCCUGUGACAGCAGUUACCCAGUCCUCAAGCAUGUCCCAGACUGGAUAUCCAUCCUUCCUCAGUUUGUUAACACAGCCACAGUGUUUGGAGAGUUCUGCCCAUACCUCAGCAUGAAGCACCCAAAAUGGAUGGAACAAGUAGUAGAAAAUAAUAGACAUUUUCAACUGCAAUUCAGAUUCUGGAUGAAUUGUUUGUAAACAUCUCAUCUAGAAGUGUGAAGGGGCUGAGCUAGCAUCAUCAAAGAUGACAAAUUCUGACACGGCGCUCUGAGAUUUCAUG
rnacentral:lncRNA from 1 species